rnacentral:rRNA from 1 species
AUUGAACGCUGGCGUCAUGCUUUACACAUGCAAGUCGAGCGGCAGCGCGGGGGGCAACCUUGGCGGCGAGCGGCGAACGGGUGAGUAAUGCAUCGGAACGUAUCCUGUAGUGGGGAAUAACUCACCGAAAGGUGAGCUAAUACCGCAUAAGCUCUGAGGAGGAAAGCGGGGGACCGAAAGGCCUCGCGCUGCAGGAGCGGCCGAUGUCCGAUUAGCUAGUUGGUGAGGUAAAGGCUCACCAAGGCGACGAUCGGUAGCUGGUCUGAGAGGAUGAUCAGCCACACUGGGACUGAGACACGGCCCAGACUCCUACGGGAGGCAGCAGUGGGGAAUUUUGGACAAUGGGGGAAACCCUGAUCCAGCCAUGCCGCGUGAGUGAAGAAGGCCUUCGGGUUGUAAAGACUCUUUCGGACGGAACGAAAUUAGCUUGGACUAAUACUCUGAGUAGAUGACGGUACCGUAAGAAGAAGACACCGGCUAACUACGUGCCAGCAGCCGCGGUAA